rnacentral:tRNA from 1 species
UGGGAUAUAGCUCAGUUGGUAGAGUACUUGCUUUGCAUGCACAAGGACCUGGGUUCAAUCCCCAACACCACAC